ACAUAAGUGUGAGUGAGUCCUCACUGCAGUCCAGGCAGCCUGGGGGCUACGAGGGGCUUCAGACGUCCUCAUCCCCAGCCUGUAGGCCUGGCCAUACCGGACCCAUGAGAUCAGCCACCCUGUGAGCUGGGACCUCGGGGUCCUACAGCCCUCCUCACUCAAGCCCUGAUCCCCUAACUUAGAGGUGAGGUGUUGGGCUGGAGGAGACAGGCAGCCAGAUGAAUCCACUGUGCAGCAAUGAUGAGCAGCUGCUGGGCUGGAGAGACUGGGGCCAUUUUACACCAGGAUGUUACCCAGAAAUGCCUGGAAAGCAAGGAGCAGCUAUCAGAAUGUUUGGGGACGCAGCUCCUCCUGUCGUGGUUCCUUCAGCAUGGACUUCACAUUCAGCAGGCCCAUGAGGUGUUCCCUUUCGGAUGAGCUCCAGGGUCUUAAGAGAGCAUCUCUGGUCUCCAUGAGUCCCUCUGAACGACGGUCCUGAGCAAGAACCACCUAUAACCAUCUGCUCAAAUUAACUCAGGGGAAGUCAAAGCUUUCUAUGUGGAAGGUGACUGAAACCACAUACACAGACCACUGCAGCAUUCCUGACAUUAUGGAGCUUGGAAAUGAUUCCAAAUGCAAACAUAGCUUGCUACGUGAGUGACAUGUUUUUCUAUGACAAGAACUUGGAGUGUAAUCCUUCCCCCAUCAAGAAUGUGACAUCACACCUUAUCAGAUUGUAUGCAUGAGCUACCAACCUCAACCACUGAACUUCAAACUAUGUGAAAACCUAAGGGUUUGACAGACACUUUGAGAGCUUGGGCUGUGGCAAGCUACACUCUGUCAGCCUCUCUUCGACAGGGCCCCACCCUGCUAGCCUUUGAACUUGGAAGCCUCGCCUGCCAACACUGGUGCCGCCCUCUAGCAUUGACAGACCGUAUGUGUCUUUGUGAAUCUCCGUUGUGUUGGACGGCUUCUCUCCCAAGAGCUGCUCUUAUAAAAGAGACACGCCACACUUUAAUGAGCCUUCGCUCUCCACCGAGGCCUGCUUGCAUCCUAAUUGAGCAAGUAGACUUUAGUAACUUUGGAACUCAGUCACUCUGUGACUAAUACACCCCGUCUACCCAGAGCAUUCCCUGUGAGAUUUGUUCAUGUUGCUCUCCCCCUCCUUAAGCAUUGUGAACCUAGGACAAAUAUCAUCUUUGUAGGGCAAUAAACCAUGUGAUUUGUGAAAUCAUA